AACGAACGCUGGCGGCAUGCCUAACACAUGCAAGUCGAACGAGACCUUCGGGUCUAGUGGCACACGGGUGCGUAACGCGUGGGAACCUGCCCUUAGGUUCGGAAUAACUCCCCGAAAGGGGUGCUAAUACCGGAUAAUGUCUUCGGACCAAAGAUUUAUCGCCUUUGGAUGGGCCCGCGUUGGAUUAGCUAGUUGGUAGGGUAAAAGCCUACCAAGGCGACGAUCCAUAGCUGGUCUGAGAGGAUGAUCAGCCACACUGGGACUGAGACACGGCCCAGACUCCUACGGGAGGCAGCAGUGGGGAAUAUUGGACAAUGGGCGAAAGCCUGAUCCAGCAAUGCCGCGUGAGUAAUGAAGGCCUUAGGGUUGUAAAGCUCUUUUACCCGGGAUGAUAAUGACAGUACCGGGAGAAUAAGCUCCGGCUAACUCCGUG
rnacentral:rRNA from 1 species